rnacentral:rRNA from 1 species
CUAGAGAUAGAAAGUUACUUCGGUACAUCGGUGACAGGUGGUGCAUGGUUGUCGUCAGCUCGUGUCGUGAGAUGUUGGUUAAGUCCCGCAACGAGCGCAACCCCUAUUGUUAGUUGCCAUCAUUCAGCUGGGCACUCUAGCGAGACUGCCGGUAAUAAACCGGAGGAAGGUGGGGAUGACGUCAAAUCAUCAUGCCCCUUAUGACCUGGGCUACACACGUGCUACAAUGGUUGGUACAACGAGUUGCGAGUCGGUGACGGCGAGCUAAUCUCUUAAAGCCAAUCUCAGUUCGGAUUGUAGGCUGCAACUCGCCUACAUGAAGUCGGAAUCGCUAGUAAUCGCGGAUCAGCACGCCGCGGUGAAUACGUUCCCGGGCCUU